AUACUUAGCUGGCAGUGGAGACACCAUGAUUAUUAAGAUGGUUUUCCCAGGGCAAGACCUACCUAUUGCACUUGCAGGUGCUGACCCCUUCAAUUUUCCCAAGUGUGGGAAACUCAACUGUUUAAUUUGUAGUUGGAGAGUGUUUGUGCCCCACUGG